rnacentral:tRNA from 1 species
GCCCUAGUAGCUUAGUCUAAAAGCAUUUGUUUUGUAAUCCGAAGAUCGGAGGCCACUAUUCUCCCUAGCGCC